rnacentral:rRNA from 1 species
GACGAACGCUGGCGGCGUGCUUAACACAUGCAAGUCGAACGAUGAAGCUGGAGCUUGCUCUAGCGGAUUAGUGGCGAACGGGUGAGUAACACGUGAGCAAUCUGCCCUUGACUCUGGGAUAACUGCGGGAAACUGUAGCUAAUACCGGAUACUUUCACCGGGGGGCAUCCUCUGGUGAUGAAAGAAUUUCGGUCAAGGAUGAGCUCGCGGCCUAUCAGCUUGUUGGUGAGGUAACGGCUCACCAAGGCGACGACGGGUAACCGGCCUGAGAGGGUGAGCGGUCAAACUGGGACUGAGACACGGCCCAGACUCCUACGGGAGGCAGCAGUGGGGAAUAUUGCACAAUGGGCGCAAGCCUGAUGCAGCAACGCCGCGUGAGGGAUGAAGGCCUUCGGGUUGUAAACCUCUUUUAGCAGGGAAGAAGCGAAAGUGACGGUACCUGCAGAAAAAGCACCGGCUAACUACGUGCCAGCAGCCGCGGUAA